rnacentral:rRNA from 1 species
AUUGAACGCUGGCGGCAUGCCUUACACAUGCAAGUCGAACGGCAGCGCGGACUUCGGUCUGGCGGCGAGUGGCGAACGGGUGAGUAAUACAUCGGAACGUGCCCUGUUGUGGGGGAUAACUAGUCGAAAGAUUAGCUAAUACCGCAUACGACCUGAGGGUGAAAGCGGGGGACCGUAAGGCCUCGCGCAAUAGGAGCGGCCGAUGUCUGAUUAGCUAGUUGGUGGGGUAAAGGCCCACCAAGGCGACGAUCAGUAGCUGGUCUGAGAGGACGAUCAGCCACACUGGGACUGAGACACGGCCCAGACUCCUACGGGAGGCAGCAGUGGGGAAUUUUGGACAAUGGGGGCAACCCUGAUCCAGCAAUGCCGCGUGUGUGAAGAAGGCCUUCGGGUUGUAAAGCACUUUUGUCCGGAAAGAAAUCGCUCUGGCUAAUACCUGGGGUGGAUGACGGUACCGGAAGAAUAAGCACCGGCUAACUACGUGCCAGCAGCCGCGGUAAUACGUAGGGUGCGAGCGUUAAUCGGAAUUACUGGGCGUAAAGCGUGCGCAGGCGGUUUUGUAAGACAGGCGUGAAAUCCCCGGGCUCAACCUGGGAAUUGCGCUUGUGACUGCAAGGCUAGAGUGCGUCAGAGGGGGGUAGAAUUCCACGUGUAGCAGUGAAAUGCGUAGAGAUGUGGAGGAAUACCGAUGGCGAAGGCAGCCCCCUGGGACGUGACUGACGCUCAUGCACGAAAGCGUGGGGAGCAAACAGG